rnacentral:rRNA from 1 species
AUUGAACGCUGGCGGCAGGCCUAACACAUGCAAGUCGAGCGGAUUAAGGGAGCUUGCUCCUGGAUUCAGCGGCGGACGGGUGAGUAAUGCCUAGGAAUCUGCCUUGUCGUGGGGGAUAACGUCCGGAAACGGGCUCUAAUACCGCAUACGUCCUGAGGGACAAAGUUUGGUAUCUUCGGCUCUCACGCUAUCAGAUGAGCCUAGGUCGGAUUAGCUAGUUGGUGGGGUAAAGGCCUACCAAGUCGACGAUCCGUAACGGAACUGAGAGGAUGAUCCGGCACACUGGAACUGAGACACGGACACGACUCCGACGGGAGGCAGCAGUAGGGAAUAUUGGACAAUGGGCGAAAGCCUGAUCCAGCCACGCCGAGUGUGUGAAGAAGGUCUUCGGAUUGUAAAGCACUUUAAGUUGGGAGGAAGGGAAGUAAGUUAAUACCUGGCUGUUUUGACGGUACCAACAGAAUAAGCCACGGCCAACUUCGUG